rfam:Tumebacillus flagellatus strain GST4 Contig090, whole genome shotgun sequence.
UAACUUGCAAUCGAAAGAUGCAACUGAACUGGCAGGAGUCAGCAGAAGCCAUAGUACCUGUGAGGAGACGUCUGAACAGGGAAGGGC